UACGUAGGGGGCGAGCGUUGUCCGGAUUUACUGGGCGUAAAGGGUGAGUAGGCGGUUGUAUAUGUCAGGUGUAAAAGGCUAUGGCUUAACCAUAGUUAGCACUUGAAACUGUACAACUUGAGUGCAGGAGAGGUAAGCGGAAUUCCUAGUGUAGCGGUGAAAUGCGUAGAUAUUAGGAGGAACACCAGUGGCGAAGGCGGCUUACUGGACUGUAACUGACGCUGAGUCACGAAAGCGUGGGUAGCAAACAGGAUUAGAUACCCUGGUAGUCCACGCUGUAAACGAUGAGUGCUAGGUGUUGGGUAGCGAUACUCAGUGCCGCAGUAAACACAAUAAGCACUCCGCCUGGGGAGUACGGUCGCAAGACUGAA
rnacentral:rRNA from 1 species